rnacentral:rRNA from 1 species
CUACGGGAGGCAGCAGUCGAGAAUCUUCCGCAAUGGGCGAAAGCCUGACGGGGCGACGCCGCGUGGACGAAGAAGGCCUUCGGGUUGUAAAGUCCUGUCAAGGGGGAAGAAUGACCAUGGAAACCCAUGGUUUGACGUUACUCCUAAAGGAAGCCCUGGCUAACUCCGUGCCAGCAGCCGCGGUAAUACGGAGAGGGCAAGCGUUGUUCGGAUUUACUGGGCAUAAAGCGCACGUAGGCGGGUCGGCCAGUCGGUUGUGAAAUCCCAGAGCUCAACUCUGGAACUGCUUCCGAAACUACCGACCUGGAGGACGAGAGGGGAGAGUGGAACUUCUGGUGGAGCGGUGAAAUGCGUAGAUAUCAGAAGGAACACCGGUGGCGAAAGCGACUCUCUGGCUCGUUUCUGACGCUGAGGUGCGAAAGCUAGGGUAGCAAACGGGAUUAGAUACCCCGGUAGUCC